UCUCCGUUGGUGAACCAGCGGAGGGAUCAUUGCUGGAACAAACGCCCUCACGGGUGCUACCCAGAAACCCUAUGUGAAUUAUACCUAUACCCGUUGCCUCGGCAUGGUUGGCUUCUUAGAAGUCCCUUUUACCCAAAAGGAGCAGACCUGCCGGUGGACCACACCAAAACUCUUGUUGUUACAGUGUCAUUCUGAAUUUAAAAACUUAAUCAGUUAAAACUUUCAACAACGGAUCUCUUGGUUCUGGCAUCGAUGAAGAACGCAGC
rnacentral:misc_RNA from 1 species